rnacentral:rRNA from 1 species
UACGUAGGGUGCAAGCGUUGUCCGGAAUUAUUGGGCGUAAAGAGCUCGUAGGCGGUUUGUUGCGUCGGCUGUGAAAUCCCGAGGCUCAACCUCGGGUCUGCAGUCGAUACGAGCAAACUAGAGUGUGGUAGGGGAGACUGGAAUUCCUGGUGUAGCGGUGGAAUGCGCAGAUAUCAGGAGGAACACCGAUGGCGAAGGCAGGUCUCUGGGCCAUUACUGACACUGAGAAGCGAAAGCAUGGGGAGCGAACAGG